rnacentral:lncRNA from 1 species
GGAUACACCCAGAACAUAUGGAGGUUCCCAGGCUAGGGGUCAAAUCAGAGUUGUAGCUGCCAGCCUAUGCCACAGCAACACCAGAUCCGAGCCACAUCUGUGACCUACAUCACAGCUCAUGGCAACACUGGAUCCUUUAACCCUGGCAUGGCCAGGGACUGAACCCACGUCCUCAUAGAUACUAGUCGGGUCUGUUAACCACUGAGCCACAAUGGGAAUUCCCAAAACUAACUUUCAAUUUGAUAAAUUUAAUAAAACUCAACCACCUACUUUAAAAAUACAUUAUUUCAUUGAAUUGAAUAGUAAUAAUAAUAGUAAGAAUAACAGUAAUCAGGACUACUUAGGAAAAAAGAGUAAGAAAAAAAAAAGAGUAAGAGUGAUAUUGAAACAGUGGGUAGGGUGAUGCAAAUCUCAUAUGCUGGAUAGAACACUUAUAAGGCCUUAUGAUUUUCAAAAGCUAUUAACAAUGCAAUAUCUAUCAUAAUUAUAUAGAUCUUCUUGGAAAGGUGUUCCUUAGCCUCUCUUGGGCAUCUAUAUUACUGAUUACCAAUGCGAAGUGUAUUUGGAUCUGGCCUAAAUCCUUCCUUCUGCAAAUCAAACAUAUGUCCUCUUGCUCUAUUCUUAAUGGAGACCAGACUCUAAAUAAUUGCCCUGCGUGUUACAUUCCACGGCACUGUCUGGGUUACCCAGCGCCACGGAGGACAUCCUGAAGAGAAACCUUCAAGGUCAAACGAGACAUCUCCAAGCUAACAAAUACAGUUUUCUCCUCGCCAGUUUUAUCAGCAGGGAGAAUGUCUCUUCAAAUAAGAUGCUGAAACCGAAAGUACGCCAGAAAAUGCACCGUGUUUAAACCACGCAGAAGCUUGACAGUGUUGCUCUAGUAAAUAUUUUCCAGUAAUAUUGUAUAAGAGUUCGAGUCUGAGUUGUUCGGUCAUCAGAAUCAAGUGGCAGAUUCUUUAAUGACCCUUUUUGCUCUAAAACCACCGUGAUUAUGAUUGUUUCUGGCACAGAGUAUAUUGGUCAAGGGUAAGCUUUGACUCUGUGUCUCUCUCUGAUUGUGUUUUGAAAACAAAGUAAAAUGGAGUAUUAACCAAUCCAGCGCCAGUGUGGAUGAUUAACUCUACCACCUCCCUCUACCAUCUAUCCUGUGCUCCUGCUUUCUCUACCUCCCACCCCAAACACACACACAAAGUCCUUUAUGUUCAGUAACUGCGUCUCAUGACUAACAUGGUCUGGGUAUUUACACAUUCUCUCCACUAGAUGCUGUAUCCAUUAAUCCCAGACAGUAAUUGUGUAUUCAUAGGAUGAUCACAAAAGAACAGAAGGCAAAGAGUUCCCAUUGUGCCUCAGCAGAAACAGAUCUGACCAGUAUCCACGAGGAUGUGGGUUCGAUCCCUGGCCUUGCUCAGUGGGUUAAGGAUCCAGUGUUACCAUGAGCUGUGGUGUAGGUUACUGAUGAGGCUUGAAUCCUGCAUCCUGCAUUGCUGUGGCGGUGGUGCAGGCUGAAAGCUGCAGCUCUGAUUUGACCCCUAGCCUGGGAACUUCCAUAUGCCUCAGGUACAGUCCUGAAAAGACAAAAAAAUAAAAUAAGGAAGACAAAACUGUUAAUGAUUAUGAUAUCACCUGCUGUUUAUUAAGUUAUUCCUUAGAACCCAGGGUUUCUGUUAGGUGCCUCCUAUAAGUUACUAUGUUUUAUUCUUUUGGAAGCCCAUUGUGAGUUGAACUGAAUUCCGCCCAAGAGAUACACCGGAGUCCUGGCUGCCAGGACCUCAGAGUAGGACCUUAUUUGGAGACAGGUCUUUGCAGGAGUAAUUAGGUUACAGUGAGGUCUUAGGUGGGACCCUAGUCCAAUAUGAUGGGUGUCCUUAUAAAAAGAGGAAAUUUGGACACAGAGACACACAUCUAGGAAAAACACCAUGUAGAUAGACUGCCAUCUACAACCUGAGGAGAGACCUGUGCAAAUUCUCCCUCCAACCUCAGAAGGGACCAGCCAUGACAAUACCUUGAUCCCAAACCUCCGUCCUCCAGACUCUGAGACAACACACUGCUGUUGUUUAAGGCACCCAGUUUGGUUAUGGUGGCCAAGGGGAGUGGGGGAGGGAUGGACUGGGAGUUUGGGAUUAGCAGAUGUAAACUAGUAUAUACAGAAUGGAUAAACAAGGUCCUAUGUAAAGCACAAGGAAUUAUAUUCAGUGUUCUAUGAUAAGCCAUAAUGGAAAAGAAUAUGAAAAAGAAGGUAAAUAUGUACAAGCGAAUCACUGUGGAGCAGAAAUUAACACAACACUGUAAAUCAAUGAUAGUUCCAUAAAAUAAGUUAUUAUAAAAUGAAAAAGAUUGGUGAGACAUGCUGGUUUAAGGAAUGAAGGUCCAAAAGCCAGCCUUCUUGUGCAUCUCAUCAGGCCUUGGGCCAAUGUGAUAAAAGAGUAGACAGCUCUCUAUCCAAGGAAAACCAUGGCUCAAAAAGAUAUAUGCACCCCAAUGUUCACAGCAGCGCUAUUCACAAUAGCCAAGACAUGGAAUAAACCUAAAUGUCCAUUGACAGAGGAGUGGAUAAAGAAGAUGUGGUACAUAUAUACAGUGGACUAUUACUCAGCCAUAAAAAAGGAAUGAAAUAAUGGCAUUUGCUACAACAUGGGUGGACCUAGAAAUUAUCAUGCUUAGUGAACUUAGACAGUGAGACACAAACAUCAUAUGCUAUCGCUUAUCUGUGGAAUCUAAAAAAAGGGUACAAUGAACUUUACAGAACAGAAACUGACUCACAGACUUUGAAAAACUUAUGGUUACCAAAGGAGACAGGUUGGGGGUGGGGAAGGAUGGGCUGGGGAUUUGGGAUGGAAAUGCUGUAAAACUGGGUUGUGAUGAUGGUUGUACAAUUAUAAGUAUAAUAAAAUUCAUUGAGUUAAAAAAAAAUGAGCACAGAGCUCUAAAUGCACAAAGGACCAAGGCUGGAGACACAGUAUGGAAGGAGGAGAGGGGAGUGGGGGAAGUAGGAAUUGGCCAAAUGGAAGUGUGAGAGACACAGAAAUGGAUGUCUUUUAAAUGAAGUGGAAUGAAAUCAUAUUACUGCCCUGGAAAACUGCUGGGAAGCCAGCUACCAAUGAAAACAAGCAGAGAAGUCCUUGGCUGUUGAAUGGAACUCAAGAAAAGCAUAUGAUGAUAUUUUUGAACAGCUUAUGCCUUCUGAGUUUAUGCUAAACCCUCACAGUUAGUAAUGAGAAAUCUUUCUGAAAUUGGAAAGAAUGUCCCCCAAACAAAAACAAAACAAAAGAAAAGGUCGGUCAAAAUGGUGGUCAUGAAAUGGGCAACUCACUGAUAAUUCUACAUUCUAAAAUAUACUUUUAUUUAUGGGUUGACUUGAUGUCACAGACCCAUGCAAGUAUUUCCACAGCAACCAAUUUCCAUUGGCGCUGGACUCAUAAAGUAUACAUGUAAUUUGCUUUCUGAUGAUUGGCAGAAGAACGUGGAAAAUUGGCAGAAACAGAUGAUGGCUGAUGAUUUCUACAUGGCAGCUCUUCUGCUCUGUGAAGUCACUCAGCGUGAUGAGCUUCACACAUUCCUUAGGCUCAGGGUAAGCAAAGUAUGGCCUUGAAUAUCGAUGGUCAGGAAGGUGGGCCCCACAUCAGCCACUCUUUAGAGAAAUGCUCUGUGGAGUUCCCAUCGUGGCGCAGUGGUUGGCGAAUCCGACUAGUAACCAUGGGGUUGCGGGUUCGAUCCCUGGCCUUGCUCAGUGGGUUGAGGAUCCGGCGAUGCCGUGAGCUGUGGUGUAGGUUGCAGACGCGGCUCGGAUCCCGCAUUGCUGUGGCUGUGGUGUAGGCGGGCAGCUACAGCUCCGAUUGGACCCCUAGCCUGAGAACCUCCAUAUGCCGCGGGAGUGGCCCGAGAAAUGGCAUACAGACCAAAAAAAAAAAAAAAAAAAAAAAA